UUGUGCUGGCUUUCACACACAUACACUAAAAUUGAGAUGAUAUAGGGAAUAUUAGCACAGUCCCUGAGCAAGAUGACAUGCAAAUUUGGGACACAUUCCAUAUUCUU